rnacentral:rRNA from 1 species
AGAGUUUGAUCAUGGCUCAGAUUGAACGCUGGCGGCAGGCUUAACACAUGCAAGUCGAACGGUAACAGGGAGAAAGCUUGCUUUCUUUGCUGACGAGUGGCGGACGGGUGAGUAAUGCUUGGGAAUCUGGCUUAUGGAGGGGGAUAACUACGGGAAACUGUAGCUAAUACCGCGUAGAAUCGGAAGAUGAAAGUGUGGGACCGCAAGGCCACAUGCCAUGGGAUGAGCCCAAGUGGGAUUAGGUAGUUGGUUAGGUAAAGGCUGACCAAGCCGACGAUCUCUAGCUGGUCUGAGAGGAUGACCAGCCACACUGGAACUGAGACACGGUCCAGACUCCUACGGGAGGCAGCAGUGGGGAAUAUUGCACAAUGGGGGGAACCCUGAUGCAGCCAUGCCGCGUGAAUGAGGAAGGCCUUCGGGUUGUAAAGUUCUUUCGGUGACGAGGAAGGCAGCUACUUUAAUAGAGCGGUUGAUUGACGUUAGUCACAGAAGAAGCACCGGCUAACUCCGUGCCAGCAGCCGCGGUAAUACGGAGGGUGCGAGCGUUAAUCGGAAUAACUGGGCGUAAAGGGCACGCAGGCGGUGAUUUAAGUGAGAUGUGAAAGCCCCGGGCUUAACCUGGGAAUUGCAUUUCAUACUGGGUCGCUAGAGCACUUUAGGGAGGGGUAGAAUUCCACGUGUAGCGGUGAAAUGCGUAGAGAUGUGGAGGAAUACCGAAGGCGAAGGCAGCCCCUUGGGAAUGUACUGACGCUCAUGUGCGAAAGCGUGGGGAGCAAACGGGAUUAGAUACCCUGGUAGUCCACGCUGUAAACGCUGUCGAUUUGGGGAUUGGG